CUUGCCUACGGGACGCAGCAGUGGGGAAUAUUGCACAAUGGGGGGAACCCUGAUGCAGCGACGCCGCGUGGGUGAAGGAGCACCUCGGUGCGUAAAGCCCUCUCGGCAGGGAAGAAAAGCGAACAGGUUCGCCUGGACGGUACCUGACUAAGAAGCCCCGGCUAACUACGUGCCAGCAGCCGCGGUAAUACGUAGGGGGCAAGCGUUAUCCGGAUUUACUGGGGGUAAAGGGAGCGUAGACGGCGAUGCAAGUCUAAAGUGAAAGGCGGGGGCCCAACCCCCGGACUGCUUUGGAAACUGUAUGG
rnacentral:rRNA from 1 species